UUUUUAAACAUAUAGGUUACCACUGUAUUAUGGAACUCCGAGAGUAUUACUUUUUACUAAACAACCUAUUGAAAGACACCCUCAGUUGCAGAAAGUUCUAGGAUUAGAGAUACUUUACACAGUUUCAACUCAUAGAGCUUUACUGAAAGUUGCCCAUCUCAUACCAGAAAAUGUUCUGCUUGGUGGUAAUGAGCUUGUGCCUGGAUUAAUGGAAGGACCAGAAGACCAAGUGACUGGAAUUAAGGAUCACUUCAGAAAACCUAAACUGUGGAAGGUGACAUCAUUUCAACUAGAUAAAGUCACUUUAAAGAUACAACCAACAGUGGCCAACUUUGAAGAAUACCUUUUGCACAGUUUGGAACAGGAAAAAAAAGAUCAUUCUGCUAUAGGGGUUAAAUUUACAGUAGUUGAAAGAAGAGUGCAGAUAGGAGUUCACAAUGGAUGGUGCUUUGUUACUCGUCCUGAUGUCCAGCAACUUCUUCCAGAACGACUUGCUCGCCGUAGCAGUUUGACAAAUAUAUCUAAUAUAAAAACUCAUCGUCGAACUGCCAGUACAGGUUCUAAUGUUGGCUCAACAGAUUCAGUUUUGAUGCUGAGGAACAAGAUAAAAAUGAUUGAUGUUCCAAAUGAUCCUCAGAUUGCUCUUGUCUUCAUUAUCGAAUUUGGAGUUUCCUGUGAACAGGGUAUGAAGGAAAGAAGGGCAAGCACUGUAUUAGGGAAAGUUCAUGGGCCUGUUUCUACUGUAACUGUUUUUUGGGGUUUCUGGUGCCCAUGGUUACAAUGUCCUAGUGGUCAGACAGAAGUGUGCAUCCAAAUGAUUGGUGGACCAAGCCGAUGCCCAAACAAUUCUUUAGUCUUUUGUGGAAAACAACUAGUGGAUUGUGAUGGAGGGCAAGGAAGCCUUUCUUUUACAUUUACUCCUGGUCGGAAGAGAGAGAACUCAUUACGACCAGUUAAACAGCACUCAGCUGCAUCAGAGACCAGCCAGCUCUCGGUCAACAGACAAGUUGGAGUAGACAAUAAGUCACAAGCUGUGAUAGCUGAUAACACUGUUUUCCACCACCAAAGAAGCUCUUCUGUGUCUCCUAUAAAGAAAGUUCAUGAAUCAAAACCAAAAGAACAGUUUUUCAGAAGGAAAGAUCACAUCUCUUUUGUAAAGGACCAAAAUGAAAAUACUGUCGAUACAUCUCAGGAGCUGGAGGAGGUCCACCAUGGAACUGGUCCUCAUGUACCUCUUCUGCCUGUGUUCUCCCAUAAUGUGUCUAGGGGUCAGCACCUGUCCAGAGUAGCAUAUGGUCGAUUAUAUUCAGCUGGGUUUCCCGUAAUCCGAGAUCGUCAUGGACGCACACCAAAUGUGCUAAAUCCUGUGGAACCAGUUUCAGUAAACCUUAAAAAAGAAGAAGUGGACAUUUUGAGAUGUAACGAGAUCAUUUUCCAGUUCCUAGCUUAUUCUAAUUGUGCCAGAAAAGCUCUUCAUACGAUAUUCUUUACAUUCCAAUUUUACCGUUUCCCACCAACAAAAACAGAAAGGCUUUUGCUGGAACAACAUGAGCCACUAAAAAGCACAGAGUCGACAUCUCUUCCAUAUAUUCUUUUUCCCAUGCAGUCACCAGGAGUAAAGAGGGAAGGACCACCUGGGUAUGAGAUUCGUUAUGAAGUUGAUCCAGCCUAUCUCAGUAGAGGAGAAGAUAAAGCUUUUUUGAAAUACUUAGCUUAUCAUCAUCUCCAUAUUGACGUUUGGGACGGCGAGUCAUUGCUUUACAUUGGGUCAUCAGAUGUUGAUUUGAAGUUUCUGUUUCGGAAUGGACAAGAGUCAAUUCAGACGACACUGGAACUUGAUAUUUUAUACUGUGAGUAUUUAGACAUACCAUCAGAUAGAACCAUAGGUCAACCAAAGCUAAGAGGUCAUCUCCACCUUCGUUUAGCUAACAUUGGGUCACCACUUUCAGGAGAUUCAAUGAGAAGAAUUGAACAGAGAGAAAAGUACACCAACAACCUUCCAGUACUUCUGUCCUCUAAUAAAAAGUUUACAGUGAACAAGCCAGAGUGUCACCAGGUUUCCAGAGCUCGGCUUUUAGUGGAAACAGAUCGUGAACUAGCAUCAAUUAUCUCAGCAAGAGGUAGAGACCAUCAGAAACCGUAUGGUGAAACUUUAUCAUCAGAACGGAGACGAAAAUUAGCUCGUAUGGAAGCAGUAAGAUCUCAAAGUAAUAACAAUCAGGAGCUGAACCUGCUUACUAAGGAAAACCUGCAUGUGCUUAGAGAAAGACAGAGAGACCUUCGAACUUUACAGGUAUACAGAGAGCAUCACAAGCAUGAAGAAAUCCUUAACCUGUUACAGAAAACAAUAACAACAGAAGCUACAAUACAUCCUACACUUGGUGCUGUAGAAUUCUUUGAAUUUGAGCUGACAAAUCCAUAUACAACAGAUUGUAAUAUCUUCAUAGAAAUAGAUAAUCCAUACUUAAAUAUUGUAUUCAAAAGCAGUGAAUGGCAACACCUGCGACACUUAUGGCAUAUAAGUGGUGUUGUUGAAGAAAAUUUCUUAACAGCAUCUGAUCAGGAAAGAAAAUAUCCAAAUCUAGUCUUAAAAUCUAAAGAAACAGUGCGUAUACCAUUCAAAUACCAACUUUGGAACAUUGGAGAAGAAUCAGUUGAUAGCUGGGAAGCAGCUACUGGUCAUUAUUUUCGGUCAGAAGAUCUAACCAACCUACAAAGUUCAACAUAUUUUUGCUCUUCUACUGCUAAGGUCCAUUUCGUUACUGAACACCAGAAAACUUUAGCAAUCCUCAGCCUUCACAUUCAGCACUUACCUCCAUUGGUCCAACAGACAAUGAGGUUUCUACCACCUGAGAAUUCUUUUCUUAAACAGUGGAUUCGUGUACCAGCUGGACUGAUAAAAGAAGAAAAACUUGGCAUGAUAGCAAGAAGCUCAGAUGUAGACAUCAUCUGUAGCAUCCAGCACUUGGAUGGAAAUUGUGAUGUUUAUGUGAAGGCUUCAUGUGGUAAUUCCGGCUCUAAGAAAAAGUUCUACAUCUUUGUCUACAGUGACUCCUAUAUAUUUCAACCUGUACAAACAUGGGAGGUAUGGGUUCAUCCUCAGAGAAGAGUAGAUCUGUCAUGUGUUAUCGGCCAGUCGAUGCACACAUCACUGAUUAUCAGUUGAUGAUGAAACUACAACCAGAACCAACAAAAAUUCAUGGAGCCAGAACCAGAAGAAUGUGACUAUUCUCCACAACAUCUCACUCUCUAAAGACUGUAUCUUCAUUCUUUCAAAGGGUCCAAAUGUUGCUGUUUCUAGACAACUAACGUAAAUCUUGAGGUACUCAGUCAACUCGGCUGGUUAAGUGUUUUACUUCUCACCCUGAAGAAGUGCAGUUUUAUCCUUCUGAACCAUUUGUUCUUGCUGCUGGGACUGUUCAUGAACUUCAGCUGGUUGUUAGGCCA
rnacentral:misc_RNA from 1 species